rnacentral:rRNA from 1 species
UGGGGAAUUUUGGACAAUGGGGGCAACCCUGAUCCAGCCAUUCCGCGUGAGUGAAGAAGGCCUUCGGGUUGUAAAGCUCUUUCAGCAGGAACGAAACGGUGGUCCCUAAUACGGGUUACUAAUGACGGUACCUGAAGAAGAAGCACCGGCUAACUACGUGCCAGCAGCCGCGGUAAUACGUAGGGUGCGAGCGUUAAUCGGAAUUACUGGGCGUAAAGCGUGCGCAGGCGGUUCUAUAAGACAGAUGUGAAAUCCCCGGGCUUAACCUGGGAACUGCGUUUGUGACUGUAGGACUUGAGUGUGGCAGAGGGGGGUGGAAUUCCACGUGUAGCAGUGAAAUGCGUAGAGAUGUGGAGGAACACCGAUGGCGAAGGCAGCCCCCUGGGUCAACACUGACGCUCAUGCACGAAAGCGUGGGGAGCAAACAGG